rnacentral:rRNA from 1 species
UACGUAGGGUGCGAGCGUUGUCCGGAAUUAUUGGGCGUAAAGAGCUCGUAGGCGGCUUGUCACGUCGGAUGUGAAAGCCCGGGGCUUAACCCCGGGUCUGCAUUCGAUACGGGCAGGCUAGAGUGUGGUAGGGGAGAUCGGAAUUCCUGGUGUAGCGGUGAAAUGCGCAGAUAUCAGGAGGAACACCGGUGGCGAAGGCGGAUCUCUGGGCCUUACCUGACGCUGAGGAGCGAAAGCGUGGGGAGCGAACAGG